AUACGGAGGGUGCAAGCGUUAAUCGGAAUUACUGGGCGUAAAGCGCACGUAGGCGGUUCGUUAAGUUGGAUGUGAAAGCCCCGGGCUCAACCUGGGAAUUGCAUUCAAAACUGGCAGACUAGAGUAUGUGAGAGGGGGGUAGAAUUCCAAGUGUAGCGGUGAAAUGCGUAGAGAUUUGGAGGAAUACCAGUGGCGAAGGCGGCCCCCUGGCACAAUACUGACGCUGAGGUGCGAAAGCGUGGGGAUCAAACAGGAUUAGAUACCCUGGUAGUCCACGCCGUAAACGAUGUCUACUAGCUGUUCGUGGUCUUGUACCGUGAGUAGCGCAGCUAACGCACUAAGUAGACCGCCUGGGGAGUACGGUCGCAAGAUUAAA
rnacentral:rRNA from 1 species